rnacentral:lncRNA from 1 species
CUCCCUGCGCAGCCCGCCGUGCCUCCCCCGCGCUCCCCGGGCUCCUCGGCCCCCCGGGGUCCGGGGACACGCCUCGCCAAAGCGGUGCUGCAUCGGCGGCGUGGCCGUGCUGGAGCUGCCAGACAGCUUCUCCCGUGAGGAUAUGAUCAGAGCAUCAGCGCCCGGGCACCGCUGCUCACAGACCCCGCCGAAGGUGUCUGCCCGCGCCUGCUGCGCCCAGCUGGAGAGGGCGCAGCACGGGCCUGGAGGUCCUGAGGGAAAAGGGCGAUCUCUGUCCAGGAAUGCCGUGUUGCAGCUCCCAGGCCCCGCCUGACACAACUAGAACUAUUAUGCAAUUAAAGUGUCUACAGCUGGGGUAAAUAAAAUUGAUUCUAAUUAGAGUUUAGCGUUAAGUAUACAUUUACUUCUGGUUAUAUUUAUUCAGGAUUUUCCCCCAACUGGCCAUACAGUAAUGUGUUUUGAUUUUGAAAGUAAACAAAAGAUGCCUAACUCAACUCAUUAAAACUCCCUUUGUGGGAUCUCAAGAACAAGCCUGUCUGUGGCACCAUACAGCAUUUUGUGCUCAACCCCUACGUCACAUUCCUUCUUGGUCUGAUAAUGAAGUGGAUCACAGCACACCAGAUUGCAGUUUAUUCAAAGACAGAACAGUCUGUACCCAGGCUCCAUCUGAUCUCUGCAAGCUGUCCUGUGGAUAUCAGUUCUUGCACCUUGUGGUUCAUGGUUUGAUUAUGGGGCCAGCCCUGAAGACUCCCUCACUGUCAACAACUUGCCAUAUAAUCCAGAAAGGAAUUGUGCAUCAGCAAGUGCACAAGUCACUGUAG